UCUUCGUGCAGAGCUCCCAAAGGCAGGCACCAACGGCAGCCGAAUGGAAGGAGACGGGAAAGAUAGCUCAAAGAUGACAGAGAUGAAGAAGGGAUUGGUAUCACUCACGGCUUCCCUCGAGGAAGGUUUGCAGGACGCCAAAGCCUCCGUCACAGGACUGGUGAAGAAAGCCACGGCCAAAAGUGAGCAGGAAGCGAGUGAAGCGGACCUUCAAACUGCUAAAAUGCAGGUGGAAGCAGCUGAUGCAGCCGAGAACAAGAAGAAACAGCUCCAGAUAAUAUAGAAACCUGCAUUUUAAUGCACAACUGUUACCUAUCUUGUUUUCUACAAUAAACAUCUAAUCAAAUAUAUGUGUAGCUAA